CCUACGGGUGGCAGCAGUGAGGAAUAUUGGUCAAUGGUCGGGAGACUGAACCAGCCAAGCCGCGUGAGGGAGGAAGGUACAGAGUAUCGUAAACCUCUUUUGUCGGGGAACAAAGACUGGGGCGCGUCCCCGGAUGAGUGUACCUGAAGAAAAAGCAUCGGCUAACUCCGUGCCAGCAGCCGCGGUAAUACGGAGGAUGCGAGGGUUAUCCGGAUUUAUUGGGUGAAAAGGGGGCGCAGGCGGUAGGUUAAGUAAGCGGUCAAAGCCCGGGGCUCAACCCCGGCCCGCCGUUGAAACUGGCAGUCUCGAGUUGGAGAGAAGUAUGCGGAAUGCGCGGUGUAGCGGUGAAAUGCAUAGAUAUCGCGCAGAACUCCGAUUGCGAAGGCAGCAUGCCGGCUCCACACUGACGCUGAGGCACGAAAGCGUGGGUAUCGAACAGGAUUAGAUACCCGGGUAGUC
rnacentral:rRNA from 1 species